rnacentral:rRNA from 1 species
AACGUAGGAGACAAACGUUAUCCGGAGUUACUGGGCGUAAAGGGCGUGUAGGUGGUUUCGUAAGUCUGGCGUGAAAUAUCUCGGCUUAACCGAGGCAGGUCGUCGGAUACUGCGGAACUAGAGGACGGUAGAGGCGUGUGGAAUUCCGGGUGUAGUGGUGAAAUGCGUAGAGAUCCGGAGGAACACCAGUGGCGAAGGCGCUGUCCUGGGCCGCAACUGACGCUGAAACGCGAAAGCAUGGGGAGCGAACGGG